GGGCCGGUAGCUCAGUGGCAGAGCACCUGACUUUUAAUCAGAGGGUCGUGGGUUCGAUCCCCACCCGGCUCACCA
rnacentral:tRNA from 1 species